AUUGAACGCUGGCGGCAUGCCUUACACAUGCAAGUCGAACGGUAACGGGCCUUCGGGUGCCGACGAGUGGCGAACGGGUGAGUAAUACAUCGGAACGUGCCCGAUCGUGGGGGAUAACGAGGCGAAAGCUUUGCUAAUACCGCAUACGAUCUACGGAUGAAAGCAGGGGACCGCAAGGCCUUGGGCGGACGGAGCGGCCGCUGGCAGAUUAGGUAGUUGGUGGGAUAAAAGCUUACCAAGCCGACGAUCUGUAGCUGGUCUGAGAGGAUGAUCAGCCACACUGGGACUGAGACACGGCCCAGACUCCUACGGGAGGCAGCAGUGGGGAAUUUUGGACAAUGGGCGCAAGCCUGAUCCAGCCAUGCCGCGUGCAGGAUGAAGGCCUUCGGGUUGUAAACUGCUUUUGUACGGAACGAAAAGCCUUCUUUUAAUACAGGAGGGUCAUGACGGUACCGUAAGAAUAAGCACCGGCUAACUACGUG
rnacentral:rRNA from 1 species